rnacentral:rRNA from 1 species
GCGCAGCCUGAUGCGCCAUGCCGCGUGUAUGAAGAAGGCCUUCGGGUUGUAAAGUACUUUCAGUCGUGAGGAAGGUGGUAGUGUUAAUAGCACUAUCAUUUGACGUUAGCGACAGAAGAAGCACCGGCUAACUCCGUGCCAGCAGCCGCGGUAAUACGGAGGGUGCGAGCGUUAAUCGGAAUUACUGGGCGUAAAGCGCAUGCAGGUGGUUAGUUAAGUCAGAUGUGAAAGCCCGGGGCUCAACCUCGGAAUUGCAUUUGAAACUGGCUGACUAGAGUACUGUAGAGGGGGGUAGAAUUUCAGGUGUAGCGGUGAAAUGCGUAGAGAUCUGAAGGAAUACCGGUGGCGAAGGCGGCCCCCUGGACAGAUACUGACACUCAGAUGCGAAAGCGUGGGGAGCAAACAGGAUUAGAUACCCUGGUAGUCCACGCCGUAAACGAUGUCUACUUGGAGGUUGUGGCCUUGAGCCGUGGCUUUCGGAGCUAACGCGUUAAGUAGACCGCCUGGGGAGUACGGUCGCAAGAUUAAAACUCAAAUGAAUUGACGGGGGCCCGCACAAGCGGUGGAGCAUGUGGUUUAAUUCGAUGCAACGCGAAGAACCUUACCUACUCUUGACAUCCAGAGAAGCCAGCAGAGAUGCAGGUGUGCCUUCGGGAACUCUGAGACAGGUGCUGCAUGGCUGUCGUCAGCUCGUGUUGUGAAAUGUUGGGUUAAGUCCCGCAACGAGCGCAACCCUUAUCCUUGUUUGCCAGCGAGUAAUGUCGGGAACUCCAGGGAGACUGCCGGUGAUAAACCGGAGGAAGGUGGGGACGACGUCAAGUCAUCAUGGCCCUUACGAGUAGGGCUACACACGUGCUACAAUGGCGCAUACAGAGGGCUGCCAACCAGCGAUGGUGAGCGAAUCCCAAAAAGUGCGUCGUAGUCCGGAUUGGAGUCUGCAACUCGACUCCAUGAAGUCGGAAUCGCUAGUAAUCGUAGAUCAGAAUGCUACGGUGAAUACGUUCCCGGGCCUUGUACACACCGCCCGUCACACCAUGGGAGUGGGCUGCAAAAGAAGUGGGUAGUUUAACCUUUCGGGAGGACGCUCACCACUUGGGUCAUGACUGGUGACG